rnacentral:rRNA from 1 species
UACGAAGGGGGCUAGCGUUGUUCGGAAUUACUGGGCGUAAAGCGUGCGCAGGCGGCUGCUCAAGUCAGGGGUGAAAGCCCAGAGCUCAACUCUGGAAUUGCCUUUGAGACUGAGUGGCUUGAGUACGGGAGAGGUGAGUGGAAUUCCCAGUGUAGAGGUGAAAUUCGUAGAUAUUCGCAAGAACACCAGUGGCGAAGGCGGCUCACUGGCCCGGAACUGACGCUGAGGUGCGAAAGCGUGGUGAGCAAGCAGG